rnacentral:rRNA from 1 species
CGGGGUGAGUAAUGUAUGGGGAUCUGCCUGAUGGCGGGGGAUAACUACUGGAAACGGUAGCUAAUACCGCAUAAUGUCUGCGGACCAAAGCGGGGGGACCGUCCGGGCCUCGCGCCAUCAGAUGAACCCAUAUGGGAUUAGCUAGUAGGUAAGGUAACGGCUUACCUAGGCGACGAUCCCUAGCUGGUCUGAGAGGAUGAUCAGCCACGCUGGGACUGAGACACGGCCCAG